GAUGAACGCUGACAGAAUGCUUAACACAUGCAAGUCGACUUGAAGCAACUUCGGUUGUGGAAAGUGGCGGACGGGUGAGUAACGCGUAAAGAACUUGCCCUUCAGUCUGGGACAACCAUUGGAAACGAUGGCUAAUACCGGAUAUUAUGGAACUCUCGCAUGGGAGGAUCAUGAAAGCUAUAUGCGCUGAAGGAGAGCUUUGCGUUCCAUUAGCUAGUUGGUGAGGUAACGGCUCACCAAGGCGACGAUGGAUAGCCGGCCUGAGAGGGUGAUCGGCCACAAGGGGACUGAGACACGGCCCUUACUCCUACGGGAGGCAGCAGUGGGGAAUAUUGGACAAUGGACCAAAAGUCUGAUCCAGCAAUUCUGUGUGCACGAUGAAGGUUUUCGGAUCGUAAAGUGCUUUCAGUUGGGAAGAAGAAAGUGACGGUACCAACAGAAGAAGCGACGGCUAAAUACGUGCCAGCAGCCGCGGUAAUACGUAUGUCGCAAGCGUUAUCCGGAUUUAUUGGGCGUAAAGCGCGUCUAGGCGGGUUCAUAAGUCUGAUGCUAAAAUGCGGGGCUCAACUCCGUAUUGCGUUGGAAACUGUGAACCUAGAGUAUCAGAGAGGUGGGCGGAACUACAAGUGUAGAGGUGAAAUUCGUAGAUAUUUGUAGGAAUGCCGAUGGAGAAGUCAGCUCACUGGAUGAAUACUGACGCUAAAGCGCGAAAGCGUGGGUAGCAAACAGG
rnacentral:rRNA from 1 species